GGUUAUAAUACAUUUUUCCUUGUGCACAUGGCGUAUUGCUAAGACCAAGCAUGUGGAAGUGAUUUUCCGUAGAGAACCACACAGUCACGAGAAUUUCUGCCACAAUUUUAUUAGUGCCUUUAAUUUGCAAGAAUGUCUUGAUUUGUUUUCCUUGAGAUUUUGAGUUGUUGCAACAUUUAGUUGUAUAGUAGAUCACCAUCAAUCUGAAUCUACUACUCAAAUUGGUUGUCCCUCUUUUUAACUCUUGAGAAAUGUAGCAUCGUAUUUCAUUUUCUUAAUUUCUUUUAAUCCCUAUCUGCCCUUCUAGAGAGAUUUAUGUAUUAGAAUGAGUGUUGGUUAACCUGGAUGUAUGUGGUUAGUUCAUUUUGAUUUUAUCUUAGUCUUGAUUUCUUAAAGCUGCAGUUCAGAUUAACUACUCAACAAUAACUAUCGGGACCAGUGAUUUGAUC
rnacentral:lncRNA from 1 species